UAAACAUUUCGUAAUAUAGAAUAGCUGACCCAUGGUUAUUUUAUCUUCAGCUUGGCGCUAAGAUUGAAACAACAUAAAGUUUUAAUACAAAUGGACUGAAUAUUUGAAUUAGUUGUUUGUCCUAAAGAACGGAUUUGAUAUUUUUAUAUAUGCGUAAGGCUGGACCGCAAGUGUGAGUUUCAGUUAGUGGUUUUAGUUGACAUUAAGAAUUCAAUUUAUGAUACCAAGUGAUCGACUCAAACUUCAAGAUCACCAAUGAAUUGUAUUUCCACAAGACACGGCAGUGGAUGCGUUUUUACUUGUAAUUAAAUAGGAAUGCAUCCACCAACAUAUCGAUGUCGUGUCGUUGCAGGAGACGACAUGUGAAGGAUCCCUUUCAUAUCGUGGUAAUAUCGUUAAAUUUGUUGUACUUUUUGCAAAUACAGGAAUGAAUGUGAAAUAGCAACGCCCGUCAAUAUGCGUUACUAGAUGAUGGUAGUAGGGAUUAGUACUAUCCAUCAAACAGGUUGGUACAUGUCAAUUUUGUGACCAAAUUUGCGUCUUUUUUACUGUUUCUUCUUGGAAGGCAACUACAAGUUAUUCAUCUCAGAUAAAACAUCAAAGCAAAUGAAAUAUUGUUACGAACACGUCUCCGCCCUGGAGCCAGACCUGUCUAGAUGUAUUGGAAUUCUAAAAUUCGACGAGGGCGCGCGGCACUAUUGAUAUACUUUUCAUAAACCACGGAAUCCGUUUGAUAUUUCUUUUGUAUAAGUUUUUAUUGUAAUAGGAGGUUUAUUUACAUUGCUUCUUUUGAAUAACGUCUAAGAAGGUCUAUUUAUUUAUUUUUUCUGUUUGGGUAGCGCACUUUAGUUUAGUUUAUAAUAGAAAUAGAAAGUAAUAGAAAAAUUUUAAUAAAUCAUAUAAGUUGAUUGAGUGUUAGUGAUAAGUGUAUUAUAUAAAUGAGUCAA